AGAGUUUGAUCAUGGCUCAGGAUGAACGCUGGCGGCGUGCAUAACACAUUCAAGUCGAACGGACGUAUUGACUUCGGUUGAUACGUUAGUGGCGGACGGGUGAGUAACGCGUGAGCAACGUGCCCGUAUGUGGGGGAUAGUCGAUGGAAACGUCGCGUAAUACCCCGUAACACAUUUUCCCGCAUGGGAUGAUGUUGAAAGAUUUAUUGCAUACGGAUCGGCUCGCGUGCCAUUAGGUAGACGGCGGGGUAACGGCCCACCGUGCCGACGAUGGCUAGGGGUUCUGAGAGGAAGGUCCCCCACAUUGGAACUGAGACACGGUCCAGACUCCUACGGGAGGCAGCAGUGGGGAAUAUUGGGCAAUGGGCGAAAGCCUGACCCAGCAACGCCGCGUGAGGGAAGAAGGGUUUCGGCUCGUAAACCUCUGUCCUAUGGGACGAAGGAAGUGACGGUACCAUAGGAGGAAGCCCCGGCUAACUACGUGCCAGCAGCCGCGGUAAUACGUAGGGGGCGAGCGUUGUCCGGAAUGAUUGGGCGUAAAGGGCGCGUAGGCGGCCUGAUAAGUCUGGAGUGAAAGUCCUGCUUUCAAGGUGGGAAUUGCUUUGGAUACUGUCGGGCUGGAGUACAGGAGAGGAAAGCGGAAUUACCAGUGUAGCGGUGAAAUGCGUAGAGAUUGGUAGGAACACCAGUGGCGAAGGCGGCUUUCUGGACUGAAACUGACGCUGAGGCGCGAAAGCGUGGGGAGCAAACAGGAUUAGAUACCCUGGUAGUCCACGCCGUAAACGAUGAUGACUAACCGCCUGCGAUACAGUGUAGGUGGCCAAGCGAAAGCGAUAAGUCAUCCACCUGGGGAGUACGACCGCAAGGUUGAAACUCAAAGGAAUUGACGGGGGCCCGCACAAGCGGAGGAACAUGUGGUUUAAUUCGAUGAUACGCGAGGAACCUUACCCGGGCUCGAACGGUACAGGACGGACACAGAGAUGUGAACUCCCUUCGGGGCCUGUAUCGAGGUGCUGCAUGGUUGUCGUCAGCUCGUGCCGUGAGGUGUCGGCUCAAGUGCCAUAACGAGCGCAACCCUUGCCGUUAGUUGCCAUCAAGUGAAGUUGGGGACUCUAACGGGACUGCCACCGCAAGGUGUGAGGAGGGGGGGGAUGACGUCAAAUCAGCACGGCCCUUACGUCCGGGGCGACACACGUGUUACAAUGGCGGCCACAGAGGGAAGCUACCUUGUGAGAGGAUGCGGAUCUCGAAAAGCCGUCCCAGUUCGGAUCGGAGUCUGCAACCCGACUCCGUGAAGUUGGAUUCGCUAGUAAUCGCGCAUCAGCCAUGGCGCGGUGAAUACGUUCCCGGGCCUUGUACACACCGCCCGUCAAGCCAUGGAAGCCGCGGGCGCCUGAAGUCCGUGACCGAGAGGAGCGGCCUAGGGCGAAAGUGGUAACUGGGGCUAAGUCGUAACAAGGUAGCCGUACCGGAAGGUGUGGCUGGAACACCUCCUU
rnacentral:rRNA from 1 species